UACGGGGGGGGCAAGCGUUGUUCGGAAUUACUGGGCGUAAAGGGUGCGUAGGUGGCGCUGUAAGUCGGGUGUGAAAUCCUGAGGCUUAACCUCGGAACUGCAUUCGAUACUGCGGCGCUUGAGGACUGGAGAGGAGACUGGAAUUCAUGGUGUAGCAGUGAAAUGCGUAGAGAUCAUGAGGAAGACCAGUGGCGAAGGCGGGUCUCUGGACAGUUCCUGACACUGAGGCACGAAGGCCAGGGGAGCAAACGGG
rnacentral:rRNA from 1 species